rnacentral:sRNA from 1 species
AGACUUCAGGUUAACUCCUGCCCUUCGGUUUUGGAGUGGCUGUAAGGUGAAGAAGCAUGAAACUCAGUCUCUCGCCCUGGAUGCAUGUUCUCGGGAUGAAGGGGCAGUGAUCUCCCAGAUUUCAGACAUUUCUAAUAGGGAUGGCCAUGCUACUGAUGAGGAGAAACUGGCAUCCACGUCAUGUGGUCAGAAAUCAGCUGGUGCCGAGGUGAAAGGUGAGCCAGAGGAAGACCUGGAGUACUUUGAAUGUUCCAAUGUUCCCGUGUCUACCAUAAAUCAUGCGUUUUCAUCCUCAGAAGCAGGCAUAGAGAAGGAGACGUGCCAGAAGAUGGAAGAAGACGGGUCCACUGUGCUUGGGCUGCUUGAGUCCUCUGCAGAGAAGGCCCCUGUGUCGGUGUCCUGUGGAGGUGAGAGCCCCCUGGAUGGGAUCUGCCUCAGCGAAUCAGACAAGACAGCCGUGCUCACCUUAAUAAGAGAAGAGAUAAUUACUAAAGAGAUUGAAGCAAAUGAAUGGAAGAA